rnacentral:lncRNA from 1 species
UUCAGUCUCUUCAUUCGGCUCAUUAUCAUCCAUCUUCUUUAUUUCUCACACUUCUUCCUUCAGGUGAUUCUCUCUUUUCUUCAUCUCUCUAUCAAUUUGUUUCUGAUUAUUUCUCUUCAACAUUUCUUCAAUUUCCUCUCUCGCGAUUCUCGAUUUUGCUUUUGUCUAUUUUUUAUUUUUUCUUCCAAAUCUCAAAUCUCAAAUUUCAAAUAUCAUAUCCUUUCUCUCUUUUUUUGUCUUUACUCAGUCGUUGACAGAUUGAUUCCGUUAUAUUCAACUGUGGUUACCAUAUAAUUUUUAAUUUCCUUUGGUUAAUUUGGACGAAAGAAGAGUUAAAUAGCUCUCUGUUAAACUCAUCGGCUUUUGAUUCAGUUUUAGAAAUGAAAUUAGUUUUGGUAAUUUUGUUUGUUUUUGUUGUUUUAUUUUAACUCCUACUAUUAAUUACUAUGGAAUUCAGAAGGAUUUGAGUUAUUUGUAGAUCUGUGCGUUUUGUUUAGUGUUCAUAGACAGAUCUACUGUAAUUGAGGUUUUGCUUUUUGUUCUAAUACACUCUAUUUUCUUGUGGUUAACACAAUAUUUUCUUUCUCUGUUAGGAAUUAACAUAAAACACUUCAGCCAGUAUCUGCAGGUGAAAAAGGUUUUUCUCUCUGUUUCUGUUUUUUUUUUUCUUUUCAAUUUUCUAUUUAUUUGUGUUUGAAAAUUUUGAUUUAGAGUUUUAAUUUUUGUCCUAAUUAACAACUAGAGAAUUUAUUCCUUUAAGAACGGGACUGGUGUAUUCCACCAAGAGAGCAGACACACAUUAUGAAUGAAUACUUAUAUCACUAAGUUGCCUUCUUUGUGAUAAUAUACUAAGAAUUAAGGACAAUUUUUUGUAAAAAUAAAUUCCUGUUAAAACUUUUUUUUUAGUGUUAAUACAUUAAAAAAGGAUUAAUAUAUAAUUUUAAGCAUCCUUUAUAACAUAAAACUAAAAAAAAUCCAACUAAAAGAGGAAUUGAAUAACAUAAAAAU